CCUACGGGUGACAGCAGUCGAGAAUCAUUCACAAUGGGGGAAACCCUGAUGGUGCGACGCCGCGUGGGGGAAUGAAGGUCUUCGGAUUGUAAACCCCUGUCAUGUGGGAGCAAAUUAAAAAGAUAGUACCACAAGAGGAAGAGACGGCUAACUCUGUGCCAGCAGCCGCGGUAAUACAGAGGUCUCAAGCGUUGUUCGGAAUCACUGGGCGUAAAGCGUGCGUAGGCUGUUUCGUAAGUCGUGUGUGAAAGGCGCGGGCUCAACCCGCGGACGGCACAUGAUACUGCGAGACUAGAGUAAGGGAGGGGGAACCGGAAUUCGCGGUGUAGCAGUGAAAUGCGUAGAUAUCGAGAGGAACACUCGUGGCGAAGGCGGGUUCCUGGACAUUAACUGACGCUGAGGCACGAAGGCCAGGGGAGCGAAAGGGAUUAGAUACCCCGGUAGUC
rnacentral:rRNA from 1 species